GUCUUCGUUGGGAUGGACUGCUCUCGCUGACCAAUCAUAUCUCAGAUCGGGCGCAAGCGUAUUCGGGAGUUCACGCGAACGAGGGCGCGGAAGGCAAGAAGCGCGCAUGCGCCUGGGCGGCUAGCUGGCGGCACCUCACAGCAUCCCUGAGGCCUGGGGGUACCACGGGCCCUCUCACUGCCCUGCCUGCCCCCUCCUGAACCUUGAGGGGUGUGGGGUGCUCACCGGUGUCGCUGGAGGUGGUGAUACCUGGGUCACUGUGGGACCGAGGCAGCAGCAGCGGUGGCGGCGCAGGAGCCGGGUGAGGAGGCCGCUGCCCCGGGGGGGUGAGGGAACCUGAGCUGUCGCUGAAGCGGCGAGUGGGACCGCGGGCUGGAGGGGCUGUGGGGGCUGGGGGCCGGCUGCCUCCGCGGGGGACCCGCCGCCUCAGCUCGGGGAAGCAGGGUCCCACCCAGGGCGGCCAGCCCUCCAGCCGGUGGCAGCUGCGGGCGGUCGUGGGGGCACCCAGAGGCGGUGGGGCCUCAGGGGCAGAGCAGGAGUAGGAGCGGGCAGCCCGCGGGGGCCGCCGAGGCAGGGGGCUGUCCUCGAAGGGGCCCCGCAGGCCGCAGUCCAGGCUGAGGCAGUAGCCAGCUCGGCUGCGCUGGAUGGAGCGGAAGAGCACGUAAUCGACGGAUCGCACGGAGCCCUGCAGCUCCAGCAGGCAGGAGUCUUCUGAUGGGCUGGAGCCCCCGGGGAAGUCACCAAUGGCUGACAGCACCAAAGACCCGCUGUCCAUGGACACUGCAGCCCAGCCGGAGUCCACCCUCCCGGCCUUCUGCUCACCAUCUACGAUGGAGGCCACGCGGUCGCAGAUGCAGGAGCUAUCGUGAAGCUGAGGAUCAAACAGAGUGGCCUGCAGAAAAUACAAGUGUCAAGGGGCCAGCUGGUGUGAUGGACAGAACUCUGAAGACCGAGAUUUCAGGCCCGCUUGGCCACUCUGUACAGGUCAGUUAUGUGGGCCUCAGUUUCCACAUCUGUAAAAUAGAAGUAAUAGUUCCUACCCCUGCCCCCACCAAAUCAGGCUCCAGGGAAGACCAAAGAUGACCAUGGAUGUGCUGGUGCUAUCAAGAUGUGACAACUGCUGUUUCCCUGUCUGGCGACAGCAGCUCCCUCAGCUUUUCAGGCUCUCUCCCCAGCUCCCCAGCCCACCCUAAGCCCUGCUCUCACCUGGCUGUCUCCUCGUAGCCCCAUGACAGCCUCAUAAGAAGGGGGGCAGUCGGUAGGGUACAAGGGCACUGGGCUGUCCAUGGAGCCAUUGUAGGUGAUGCUGGCAAAAUGAGGGAGAGUAAGAAGCUUGGAGAAGCAUUCCUAAUCCACAGUGCUCCCUCCCCACCAGUCCAGGCUGCAGCCCCAGCCCCCUUCCUCAGUUCCCAGUAGGAACCCACCAGGUCUCACCUCUGCGCAUCUGUUUCAGAGCUACAGGUGUACUCUGGGGGAUAGUAGGGCGGAGGGGGUACUGGUGGUACAAAUUCUUCCAAAUCCAGCAUGGUGUGCAGGAGAGGGGCUGGGGGCGACGAUGCACAGCCCAGGGACCCCAAAGGGCCAGAGACUGAGCGCUCAGGGGCCAGCUGCUGGGGAGCAAGCAGGUCAGCAAGCCUGGUUUCUGGGAGUCCAGCUCCUAGGCUCCCAAAAUCUUCCAUGUUUUCCUGGCCCUGCCCUCUUCCUCAGCCAAAACUGGCUCCUCUCUGCCCCAGCCAUCUAGAAAGUCCUCCACUUUAUGGGCUUACCUCCACUCAGAACUGCCACCUGCCUUCUGCCCCCACUACAACAUCAACUCUUUAUCCUUGUCCCCAUCUAGGAUCUUCUGGACUCCACCCAAGGGCAGUCCCAUUGUCUAAGGUUCCCUCUCUGCGCCGACUAGCAUCACAUAAUUCUCUCACUCCCCGUCCUUCUCCUCCUCAUCAUUCCUUGGACCACCUAAAUAUCCCUACAGUAGACACAUAUAUACACUAGAGAUCCCUACGCUAUACUGCCUAAUAAGUGGUGCUCAGAAGCCCAGCACUGUAGCCACCAUCCCCUCAAGCCCAAUCCCAGCACACACACAUCCCUACCCCCAUCACACCUGCUCGGCUUUGACCCUGGCCCCCUCACCGUGUGCACGAGGUCCAGGGAGAAGAUUUGGAUGCAGCAGAUGAUAGCUGAGAGGGUACAGAUGAUGGCGGCACAAAUGGUCAGCCCACAGACACUAAAGAGCAGGUUCUGAAAGCAAGAGUGGAAGAGGGAUGUGAGCGGGGCCUAGGGAGGGGUGACUCUCACCAGUUCUGGGUCCCUGAGGACCCCAGAAGGGGAGGCAAAAGUGAAAGCCAGGAGAAUGAUAGGAGAGAAAAGAAUGAAUGAGGCAGGGAGAGCACGCUCACCUUGAGGGCUCCUCGGGCUUCGUCACAGGUGGAGUUAGGGGCAACUUUCAGUUCCUGGCCUGACUCUGGGCAGGGCCGGAGGAGGGGAACGGAGGGGCAGCACACACAGACCUUUCCUUCCUGGGUGGCAGUGAGGAGGGUGAAGCAGCCCGAGUCAGGACAAACCCAGGUGUCCUGCACAGCUCCCCCCACCAGUUCUUUCAGGCUUUCCCUCCUCAGUCUCACCAUGGAGCAGUCUUGGAAGUCUCGGGCCAGCUGAGCAUUCUUACAGGAGAGAACAGAGCCAGCCAUGCUGAGCAUGACACAGAGCACGGAAAGCAGGGAGAAGAAGGAGAUCUGGGGGAAACAGGUGCACACUCAGGGCUGGAGCCCUCAUUCAGGCCAGUUCUCUUCUCGGGGGCAUAAGUGGGCAUCCCCUCCGGUCCUGGGCACCUGACUCCCAGUGGGCACCAGAUCCCAACACCUACCACUAAAGUGAAUGGCCGCUUCCAAGACACAACGCCAACUACCCCGGAGAACGCCAGCUGGGGACAGAGUGGGUACAGGCUCAGCCUGGCAAGGGGGAGGCACAUGAGUGAGCCCCUCACCACAGGGCGUGCCCAGCCCUGUAAGAAGACAGAAGCCCAGAAGAAGAAGGAGAGGCCAGCAUUUGGACUGGCAGCUAAUAUGGAGGGGUGGGGCCCCAGGAGCCUACCCCACCCAAGGACUGUGCACCCAACUCACCGAGAACCCAGCCCAAGAUGGGCAGGACCUCUUGAUGCUCUCAGUGGUGGUGACGGAGGAGGCCACCAUGCUGAAGGUGACCACCAGGACGCCCAGGAGCACCUGGGCCAGCCCUAGCGUGAGCAGGGCCUGCAGCCAGGGUCGGUGGAGGCGGAGGUGGGUAAGGCCCCGGGUGCUGGGUCGGCUGGUCAGCGAGCGGCUGGAGUCACUGGGCGAGGGCAUCAUGCCUGCUGCCCGGUUGCCUGCGCCUCGCUCGGCCUCCACUGUCGCUUGGGAACAUCUCAGAGGCGCCCAAGGCCCCGUCCUCCCUCCUCUCCACCCUCUUUGCUCUAGAACCCACCUCCCGGAUGGGGCCCCUGGGGCAUGGCCUAGAGCAUCCAGCUGGGCGGGGGCCCAAGGGAGGGGCGUCGCGGAGGGAUCGCGGAGCGCUCCCUCCCCACCGCGGGCACCGGACGGGCACCGUGCCCGGGACGGCGAUGAGGUCGCUGGGGCGCCGGCUCAUCGCAUCUCCCUGGAGAACAGGGGCGCCGAGAAGGGCAGGUCCAGGAGCAGCUGCGGUCCGGAACCCGGGGAAAGGCGGGGAGGGUAGAGGCGA